rnacentral:lncRNA from 1 species
GGGAGCUGCACCCCACCGCCAGCACCAGCCUGGGCAGGGUGCUGCGCGUGCGCAGCGAGCUCCUGGGCCGCGCGCCGUGCCUUAGUAGCGGCCAAGCUGAGCCAGAAUCCUCCUUGAGGCUUCUUGUUCACGGGUCCUCAGAGAUACAGAUGGGAUCAUGCAGACUGCUUCUUCCAACAGAGUACUUCAUUCAUACAUGUGAAGGAAGCAGGAGGAAGGAGGUAACCAAGAUAAAGAAACCGAACAAGUGACUUUAGAGGAAAUUGAGCUAAUUCUAAAAACAGAAGAGAUCUUAAAAGCAAAUUUUAUCAUCAGUAGAGAUUUGAUAGAGCUAUAGUGCUUUCAAAACCAAGAAUGGCCUGCAAAAGAAAAUGAGCAAGCUGAGAACAACAAAAACAAGAGCAAGGCCUGCACCUAACAGCAGGGGUGAGAGGAGAAGCUGAAGGUCAAAGGGGAAAUUCCUCCUGCUAGGACUUGUUUUUACAAGUUAAGCCAAUAUCCACAACAUCACCAAUGCUCCCUCUCCAUGGAGAGGACACAGUGAAAGACAAAAUUCAGAAGAGAGCUUGAUGGCUAUCCACAAUCUCAGAUGCAACCAGAUGAAGACCUGUGGAACAGAUGGAGGGCACAACCUGAGAUGGAACCUUAUAGAGACAGAUUUGUCAUCAAGUCUCUACAAAUCAUAUUUUACCACUUCCUGUGGUGUACACCUGAGGCUUCUUGAUAAUGUACUUUGCUGCCACACACAAGAUUCUGUAGCCCUAGAAAUGCCUACUUUGUUGUCUUUAUAAUGUGCCUUAAAACAAUAACAGAAUGAAGGAACUGGAGUAUCACAGGGAAAUAAUGUCCGCAGGAGGUGCAUAAGAUGCUCUAACAAGACCUCUUCCUGCCAAAUUCCCUGUGUUUUAUAUUCUAGCUCUAGGUUCCUAAGAAAUGAAAAUAGGAGUUUGCCAUUAAAGACUGAUUUUCUCAGUUUCUUGCGAUUAUAAACACACCUGUUCAAAAUAACUUUGUCAUGAUGGACUAAAGAAAUUUUCUGCAGUGUUUCUUCUCAUAUGCUCUCAUGUGUUUUGCCUAGAACAGGAGUUGGUCUUUUGAUAAGUGAUUCUUGAAACAGCAAGUUGUUCAAGGGUUGGAAUUUAUAAUAUUUGAUAAACAUACAGCCUCAGCUUACUUAUUUUAAAAUUGAAUCUUUGAAAGAUUUCACUCAUGCCUGGCUUCUAUUAUGUUUUGAGGACAAUCUGAACUCUGAAUAUUAACUAUUAUGUCUAUACGUAACUUUAAGUUACCCAUUAUAUCUUUUAAAUGUAAACAAUGGGGCUCUUGGUCUACUUUUACUGUAUUUUAUGUCACUGCAACUGGAAAUCCUCAAUUCGUUAUUCAUGGGACUAAAAAUUGUGAUCAUAUGUAACAAACUAGGUCCAUGGUCUCUAUGAAGUUAUCACAGUGUGAAAAUAAGGUGGAGUAAUAACUUUGCGUUUCUAAAAUGUAAAACCAACGGAAAAUCUUAAGAAAUACAAAAGAUUUUUCCAUAAAAUAAAAAUGUCAAAAAAUGCA